rnacentral:rRNA from 1 species
GCAGUCGAGCGGACCGAAGGGAGCUUGCUCCUUUAGGUUAGCGGCGGACGGGUGAGUAACACGUGGGCAACCUGCCCUGCAGACUGGGAUAACUUCGGGAAACCGGAGCUAAUACCGGAUAACACCGAAAACCGCAUGGUUUUCGGUUGAAAGGCGGCUUUUAGCUGUCACUGCAGGAUGGGCCCGCGGCGCAUUAGCUAGUUGGUGAGGUAACGGCUCACCAAGGCGACGAUGCGCAGCCGACCUGAGAGGGUGACCGGCCACACUGGGACUGAGACACGGCCCAGACUCCUACGGGAGGCAGCAGUAGGGAAUCUUCCGCAAUGGACGAAAGUCUGACGGAGCAACGCCGCGUGAGCGAAGAAGGUCUUCGGAUCGUAAAGCUCUGUUGUCAGGGAAGAACAAGUGCCGUUCGAACAGGGCGGUACCUUGACGGUACCUGACGAGGAAGCCACGGCUAACUACGUGCCAGCAGCCGCGGUAAU